rnacentral:lncRNA from 1 species
AGGCACUUUACCAAAAUAACCAGCAAAGCCUCUCACAUGGUGAUAUGAUGCGCUAGCUGAUCGCAAACCAGCAGCGUGUUAGCAUGAAACUGUCCUAAGAGCCAAAAGGAAACCUCCAUAAUCUACACCCCCUGGGGUGUCAAAUGGCUACUAUUCAAGAAGACUUUCCAACUGAGGAUUAAAGAAAAAUAAAUAAAUAAAAGUAAUAGUGCAG